UCACAGAUUUUUCUCUUUUCUUUCUCUCUUUCUCUCUGAAAUUUUCUCUGGUUUUUCUUGUGAAACAGGACGUCCAGAAGAGAGAAGAUGGUGUUUUAUAACAUAAGAAGUUGCUUCAGGUGAGGGUUUCACUCAUCACAAAGCAAGGCUGAGAAAGGACAUGUGGAGAGCAGUUUCAGCACUUCCAACAGCAAGCUGAUGUCCUU
rnacentral:lncRNA from 1 species